AUUACCUAAAACAAUGAAAGCCCUGCCUCUCUUCCAUCCUUGCGGCUCCUAGACCGCGCCAGUGGGAAUCAGGUUGGUCGGAAUUCU
rfam:Bacillus sp. 2_A_57_CT2 genomic scaffold supercont1.3, whole genome shotgun sequence.